GGGGAAUAUUGGACAAUGGGGGCAACCCUGAUCCAGCAAUGCCGCGUGUGUGAAGAAGGCCUGAGGGUUGUAAAGCACUUUCAGUGGGGAGGAGGCUUGUUAGGUUAAGAGCUAAAUAAGUGGACGUUACCCACAGAAGAAGCACCGGCUAACUCCGUGCC
rnacentral:rRNA from 1 species